GGUGAACGCUGGCGGCGUGCCUAACACAUGCAAGUCGAUCGGAGCAGCAAUGCUUAGAGGCGAACGGGUGAGGAAAACGUAGUAACCAACCCUUUAGACUGGGAUAGCCACUGGAAACGGUGGGUAAUACCGGAUAAGCUCGAGAGAGGAAAGGCAGAGAAGCGCUAAGGACCGAACCUGCGCCCAUCAGAUAGUUGGUGAGGUAAAGGCUUACCAAGUCAAAGACGGGAAACCGACGUGAGAGCGUGUACGGUCACAAGGGCACUGAGAGACGGGCCCUACUCCUACGGGAGGCAGCAGGUGGGGAAUAUUGGACAAUGGACGAAAGUCUGAUCCAGCGACGCCGCGUGGAGGAAGAAGUCCUUCGGGAUGUAAACUCAUGAGGCUAACGAAUAAGACGGAAGGGGAACCUUCCGGGAGAAGGUAAUUAGUGAAAAGCCCCGGCUAACUACGUG
rnacentral:rRNA from 1 species